rnacentral:rRNA from 1 species
GACGAACGCUGGCGGCGUGCUUAACACAUGCAAGUCGAACGGAAAGGCCCUGCUUUUGUGGGGUGCUCGAGUGGCGAACGGGUGAGUAACACGUGAGUAACCUGCCCUUGACUUUGGGAUAACUUCAGGAAACUGGGGCUAAUACCGGAUAGGAGCUCCUGCUGCAUGGUGGGGGUUGGAAAGUUUCGGCGGUUGGGGAUGGACUCGCGGCUUAUCAGCUUGUUGGUGGGGUAGUGGCUUACCAAGGCUUUGACGGGUAGCCGGCCUGAGAGGGUGACCGGCCACAUUGGGACUGAGAUACGGCCCAGACUCCUACGGGAGGCAGCUGUGGGGAAUAUUGCACAAUGGGCGGAAGCCUGAUGCAGCAACGCCGCGUGCGGGAUGACGGCCUUCGGGUUGUAAACCGCUUUCGCCUGUGACGCAGCGUGAGUGACGGUAAUGGGUAAAGAAGCACCGGCUAACUACGUG